rnacentral:rRNA from 1 species
CCUACGGGGGGCUGCAGUGGGGAAUCUUGCACAAUGGGCGCAAGCCUGAUGCAGCCAUGCCGCGUGUGUGAAGAAGGCCUUCGGGUUGUAAAGCACUUUCAGCGGGGAGGAAGGCGUUAAGGUUAAUAACCUUGGCGAUUGACGUUACCCGCAGAAGAAGCACCGGCUAACUCCGUGCCAGCAGCCGCGGUAAUACGGAGGGUGCAAGCGUUAAUCGGAAUUACUGGGCGUAAAGCGCACGCAGGCGGUCUGUCAAGUCGGAUGUGAAAUCCCCGGGCUCAACCUGGGAACUGCAUUCGAAACUGGCAGGCUAGAGUCUUGUAGAGGGGGGUAGAAUUCCAGGUGUAGCGGUGAAAUGCGUAGAGAUCUGGAGGAAUACCGGUGGCGAAGGCGGCCCCCUGGACAAAGACUGACGCUCAGGUGCGAAAGCGUGGGGAGCAAACAGGAUUAGAUACCCUAGUAGUC